rnacentral:rRNA from 1 species
UGGGGAAUUUUCCGCAAUGGGCGAAAGCCUGACGGAGCAAUACCGCGUGAGGGAGGAAGGCUCUUGGGUUGUAAACCUCUUUUCUCAGGGAAGAACAAAAUGACGGUACCUGAGGAAUAAGCAUCGGCUAACUCCGUGCCAGCAGCCGCGGUAAUACGGAGGAUGCAAGCGUUAUCCGGAAUGAUUGGGCGUAAAGGGUCCGCAGGUGGCAUUGUAAGUCUGCUGUUAAAGAGUUUGGCUCAACCAAAUAAAAGCAGUGGAAACUACAAAGCUAGAGUGUGGUCGGGGCAGAGGGAAUUCCUGGUGUAGCGGUGAAAUGCGUAGAUAUCAGGAAGAACACCCAGUGGCGAAGGCGCUCUGCU